rnacentral:rRNA from 1 species
CCCUUAGAUGUUCUGGGCUGCACGCGCGCUACACUGAUGCACUCAACGAGUUUACGACCUUGCCCGAUAGGGUUGGGUAAUCUUUUUAAAAUGCAUCGUGAUGGGGAUAGAUUAUUGCAAUUAUUAAUCUUCAACGAGGAAUUCCUAGUAAGCGCGAGUCAUCAGCUCGCGUUGAUUACGUCCCUGCCCUUUGUACACACCGCCCGUCGCUACUACCGAUUGGGAAAAUUUUAGAGAGUCCUGGACUGAUGAUUGUUCGGCUUCACGGCCUUACUUUCGUCGGGAAAGAAUUCGAUAAUAUUUUUCUAGAGGAAGUAAAAGUCGUAACA